UACAGAGGUCUCAAGCGUUGUUCGGAUUCAUUGGGCGUAAAGGGCGCGUAGGCGGGCGAUCUAGUCAGGGGUGAAAGUUUUCGGCUCAACCGGAAAAGGGCCUCUGAUACGGGUCGUCUCGAGGGAGGUAGGGGCAUGCGGAACUUCCGGUGGAGCGGUGAAAUGCGUAGAUAUCGGAAGGAACGCCGGUGGCGAAAGCGGCGUGCUGGACCUCUUCUGACGCUGAGGAGCGAAAGCCAGGGGAGCGAACGGG
rnacentral:rRNA from 1 species